CCAUUUUUUUAUAUUUAUUAUAUGUUUGAUUUAAGUAUUAGAUUUUUGUGGUGUUUUAGGCCUAUAAUUUGCUUUUAACACAUCCCAUGAACUAAUUUGCAUCAUCCCAUUUAUUUUUUUAAUUUUUGUUUAGACUUAGUAAAUUAUAACUGUUGAUUUAAUUGAUUAAUGUAUUAGUUUAAUUAGUUUUACUUUUAAAAUUGUUAAAAAAAAGGAAAAGAUUUAUUUAUCCCAUCGUUU
rnacentral:lncRNA from 1 species